rnacentral:sRNA from 1 species
UAUAGGUAAUAAUAAUGCGCGAGGUUGC